UGAAAAUGAUAAGAGAUUUUAGUUUGGAUUUGGUCCAUUUAUACUAGCCUCCAUUGUGCAUGGGGCUGCACAUGGCCAGCAGCGAUCACAAUCGCCGUCUAACUUACAUUUAACCAUUUCGAUAUUGGUUAAAUUUUUGGUAGUGUAACAGCAAUCGGUUGUAAGUGGUCUUGGACCACAGUUGGACCAACAAUUGCCCAUUAUGCAGACGGAAUGGAAAUUUUUGCAGUCUAAUCCAGCGCGAAUGAGGUCUUGCUGACGGUUAUUUACCAAAUGAUGCUCGACGACUGCUGUUGUUACACCAGCGGCACCCAUUGCAGCACCCCAACCAAGGAAUUUGCCUACGACUGGUAAUAUUGAUGAUACAAUGGGCCAAACUCUCUUAUUUCGUUUUUUCUCUUUCGGAUUUGAAAACGCAAUUAAAUUUUCCAUUCCGUUGAUCUCUUUUUUAUCUAAAGUUGAAUCAAAUGUUGUCGAUCGGGGAUUUCUCACGUUAGACCGUAGGGAAGAUGGUUUGCGACGGAUUCUUGAUUGUUCUGGAGCUUUUGUCGUCGUGAUUGUCGUUGACUUUCCGUAAAUUCUAUCCAUGAUAUUUCUCCAUCGGUCUGCGUACGUUAUAUACGCAUAUAAAAUUUCACUUUCUUUACACCGUGACCGAGCACUUUAUACGCUAUACUGAUGUUUCUCCUAUCGCGAACCGAAACACUUUCUUCUUCAGCUUGACUGCUGGUUUUAACUGAGAAGAGGAGGACUAAAAGUCAACACAACACAACGAUUUUACUGCAACUUUUCAUUUUUUUUGUUCAAACAACUUUUUUUAAUUUAUAAUCUAUGCUUAUAAAAUUAAACGGUCGAAGAAAUCAACGAUGUUUUUAGUUCAUCGGUUGAAGAUCGGUGUGCUAGCUUGAUGUUUUGGUGCACAUUCGCAAAGAACUAAAUCGUUUUAUAAAAAAUAUUUUUCAUCAUACUGUUGUUUCAGAUCGUCUUCGUCUGCUGCGCACGACAAGAAAGUAUUCAAUAUAUAUACAUAGUAGUAUAGAUAUGGCGGUUUCAUCAUAACCGGUUUUUGCUCCACCCAAAACUAGUUUUAACCACACCCAAAACCACUUUCACUCACACCACACCCUAUUGAAGCUGGUGAAAGUGUGAAUAAAACACAGAGUUUCUUUUUUAGGUUUUGGAGUCCGGAAAUUUAUCAGAGUCGUGAAUUCUUUUUCACGCGCGACAAAAAUGGGAUCCCCUGAGUUGUUGGGAUUUGGAUCCAAUGCACAAUAAGGAUCGGUUGGCUUGAUAUGCACUUCUAUAUUUCGUGUCCGAUAAUAGUUCAACUUUUCGUGGAAUUCGCAGUUGUACGGGAAUGAAUCUGACAUUUGAUCACUGAUACAUAUGAUCUCUUUCGCGGCACACACCCUGAAGAGAUUGGUUUGAGUCCAGAGAAAGAACACUGAAAUACGAUCUCUUUCGCGCCAACAGAAGCUAUAUUUUUUUAUUAUUACACACUUCACAUAAUCUUUGAAUUGUGGCAUAGUUUCUGCCUCUAAUUUACAGUCAAUCAAAUUGUUGCCAUUUUGUCCUGUAACGGCAGCAGUUAAAACUACUAUAAGAAAUAAAGAAACACUAUAUUUCGAACACAUCUUAUCAUAAUUUAGAAAGAAUGGUAUAAGGCUGAGGACUGAAUAGCUUCUUCUUCAGAUAGAGCAAUCAUUGGUUUUUUUUUUCAUCCAAAAACUCUAAAAUAUUCAUCGCUAUGUCCGUUGAUUCAUCCAUAAACCAUUCAAGACAAUUUGCACCACGAUAAUAAUAUCUUGAUGUUGAUUCAUCGUUUUCAUUCUUAAAAUAAUAGAAUAUAAAUUUCUAUAAAAAAAAAUUAUAAUUUUUGAACGUUUCAAAGUUGUUGCCAACAGAUGGCAUUUCUAUUGCACAUUCGUUCAUUUUUUCACAAGUUUUUUUAUGUCCGUUUAAUUCUUCAUCCGAAUAGAAAUAAUUUAAACAACGAUCACAAAUUGAUAUUUUAUGUUCGUGUUUGGUUAACUAAGCGCGCACUAAUUGAUUUAAGUUUUUAAUCCAGCAAUAAUGCGAAUGCACAUUCACUUCACUUGCUUCUUUGCUAUGCAUCGGUGUUUGUUCUGUUAGCAAAAGCAGAUGAAUGUAUUGCUUUUCAACUGGUUUCAUCGCCAUAUCUAUACUACUUACAUCAAUUACUCCAAGAUCACACCAAGAUAUGCCCUUCAAACGCCAUGAAUUGUUUGAAUAUCGCUCGAUGAAAGUGUCGAUGCCUAUUAUUCUCAUUUCAUCUCAUACUUAAGAAGUUGAUAGAGUUGGACAACAUAUUCGUAGUCGCACAAAGUGUCACUCCAAAUGUCGUUGAAAUUCUCGUAUUGAUAUUUAAUUUCGUCCAUCCAGUGUUUCACAAGAACUUUUCUCCCAUCAAAUUCACAGUUGUUACUUAUUUUUUCUUUCAUAUACGCACAAGCUUGCUCCAUGGUGAAAAUCAGAAAACGUCUGUUUUUUUCAAAAUUAAAUUAUGAACUAGUAGUAUAGAUAUGGCCCGUUUCGCGGUAACCGGUUUUUGCUCCUCCCAAAACCGGUCAAAAAACAUGUUUUGUCAACGCCCAAAACAACUUUCAUUUAUUCAAAUGAGUUGACAACCAAAACAACUUUCACUAAUGUGCACAUCUGUUUCAACCCAUAGCGAUGGCCAUAUAAAUCCUGCUCGGGAUGGUGUAUUUGCACGCAUAAGAAAUGUGUUAUUUCUUUAUGGAUCUGCUGCUGCAAUUGGAACUGCUAAUGGCGCUAGUGGAAGUGUAAUAAAUAAACAUUUUAUGCAAAACAAUAUCACCGAAACACCAUCGUUCUCACAGUUAAAUUGAAGAAUUAACACUGUGAUUUUACCUGAGUCCCCGUCAGAGCUAAAAGCAGCUCCUCCUUCAAUAUGAAUACAAAUUACAUUAUUCUCAUCGCAAGGUACAACUUCUGCACUAAGCAUAGUGAUUCUGUGCUGGAAAGAUUUCCAAGAAUAUCUACGCCUUCUAUCAAGGCCAACAGCCGUUAAACGUGUUGCCCGAUUUAAAAAAUUCAAACCCAGAUGCACAAAUAAAGGGACUUCAACUGUAAUGACACUUAUAUCAUGUUGAGCAUUCUUUUCACCGAGAAUGUACUUGUAAUGGGAUUCUACAUUAUCUACGGUUAUUGUUUCAGUCUUGCCAUUUGUAAAUUCUAUGGUGGCUUUUUCGAAAUCCUCAAAGCAAUGUGCUGAAGAUAAAAUCUGAAAAAAUCGUUUUCAUUAUUUUAUAAAUAUAAGGAAGACAGUCGAUUAUUGUUUAAUGCUUACGUAAUUGCGCGAGAUAACAAAGCCUGAGCAUUUUUCUCCAUGAUAUAGCCAAGUUUCGUCUAAAAAAUAACAAAAAUUGUCAUUAUUAAUAAGUUAUUUUUGAGGAAAAAUAAAUGGGGCAUUUCAUAUGAAU